rnacentral:rRNA from 2 species
UCUUGGUCAUUUAGAGGAAGUAAAAGUCGUAACAAGGUCUCCGUUGGUGAACCAGCGGAGGGAUCAUUACCGAGUUUACAACUCCCAAACCCCUGUGAACAUACCUUAUGUUGCCUCGGCGGAUCAGCCCGCGCCCCGUAAAAAGGGACGGCCCGCCGCAGGAACCCUAAACUCUGUUUUUAGUGGAACUUCUGAGUAUAAAAAACAAAUAAAUCAAAACUUUCAACAACGGAUCUCUUGGUUCUGGCAUCGAUGAAGAACGCAGCAAAAUGCGAUAAGUAAUGUGAAUUGCAGAAUUCAGUGAAUCAUCGAAUCUUUGAACGCACAUUGCGCCCGCCAGUAUUCUGGCGGGCAUGCCUGUUCGAGCGUCAUUUCAACCCUCAAGCCCAGCUUGGUGUUGGGAGCUGCAGUCCUGCUGCACUCCCCAAAUACAUUGGCGGUCACGUCGAGCUUCCAUAGCGUAGUAAUUUACACAUCGUUACUGGUAAUCGUCGCGGCCACGCCGUUAAACCCCAACUUCUGAAUGUUGACCUCGGAUCAGGUAGGAAUACCCGCUGAACUUAAGCAUAUCAAUAAGCGGAGGAA